rnacentral:misc_RNA from 1 species
GUGAAUCAUCGAAUCUUUGAACGCAUAUUGCGCCCUCUGGUAUUCCGGGGGGCAUGCCUGUUCGAGCGUCAUUAUCACCCCUCAAGCCCGGCUUGUUGUUGGACGUCGGCGGCGGCCUUUAGUGGCGUACCGCCCGUCUCAAAGAUAAUGACGGCGUCUGUGAGGACACCUGUACACUGAGCUUUCGGGCACGUACUAGGCUGACACUUGCAGACCCGGUCUUUAGGGUUCGCUUCGGCGAGCCCAACUUUUUACCAAGGUUGACCUCGGAUCAGGUAGGAAUACCCGCUGAACUUAAGCAUAUCAAUAAGCGGAGGA